rnacentral:lncRNA from 1 species
GAUUUGGGUAUCUCUGUGUCAUUUCGAUAGCUGGACCUCAUGCUAAGCUGGUUCACUUUAUCAGCCUCAAUUUGUCACUAGGAAAUAGCCUGUGGAUAAGGCCGAUUCUCAGCACUGUAAGGAGACAUCACUAUUUAACGCCUAUUACAGGGCCUGAUUAAGCAAAUGGAAAUUACCUGACAAGUUGCCCCACAUGUCUGCUUAAACGCUUGCUCCAGAGGUAAUAUUUACUGUGCCCUGACUUGUAGAGCUGGCUAUGAAGGUGUCAGCUUGCUCUUUCAUGGCUGAGCUUUUACUGAGGUUGGUUUAAAUGCAGGGUGACUUGCUUUUCCCCUCUUUGUACUAACAGUAAUGAGACAGGGAAGGAAGGAUGUGAAGGGGAGCCCUGUAAAUGACAGCCUGAGCCGAAGACCGCACCUAGUAAACUACCUGCAUGCAGCACAACUCACACCUGGACUACAACUGUGGGGGACCUUGUAUGUGAGCAGCAUGGAGGUGUUGUCAGAUGGCACAGGUCCGGACACGCUGCUUCUCCCAGAAGACAGGAGGGACCGCCUGGGCGUAUUUGGACAACCAGCCGUGCUGCUAUCUCUCCAGUCCCAGUGCAGGGAGAUGCUCCGGAGCGCAUUGCGCUGUGUGAACAACGCCCACAGUAUUCUGCCCUUGGCACCAGCAGCUGGAGAAGAAUGGGAGAGCUGCACCGGCUUUCCCACAAUGAGCUCCUCAGAGCCGGGCAGAGAAUAGUGUUCUGUCUCGUGGAGAAACUCAGAAUUUAUUUCAGCUCAGUUUGGGACUCACAGGGUUUCUAGAAAUUCUCUCUAAAUACAGUUCUGGAAAGAGAUUAAAAUGCAGGAUUUUGAACCAAGAAGCUUGAGCAGCCCAAGCCAACUGCCUUCCCAUGAAAAUGGAGGUGUAGAAGGCUUCGGCUGUGAAGCUGCCGAUCUUUGGACCACCACACCAGCUGGAUUAGAGAGUUUGGGUACCUUUGUUUCUCUCCUUCAGUCAAGGACUGAUUUCUGUGGCUGCUCAGCUCUAUCUGAAGAACUUGCAUUUCCAGAGUGGCCUUUGACAAAGUGAGCACAGGCCUUGACCAGUUCUGAAAAUCUUGACUCAAACUCUUCAGAGGUCGUCCAAGAAGUGUAAAUGUUUCUCAACGUUUGGACAAAAAUAAUUAUUUAUAGGCUCACUCAGAACACCGAAUACUUUACUGGAUAUUUCAUGUGUGAGUUGGUUCACAGGAGUCUGGUGUGACUGGACAUACUACACAAAUUACAGACACACCCCGAACUUGAAAUACUCCUGUUUUACCAGAGCCAAUCAUAUUUCUAUGUUUGCUUGUCAUAAUAUGUAUCUAAUAACUGAAUGUGUGCUGAUGGCACAUUCCUAGUAACCUAAAACAUUAUCAAAAACACAGGGCUAUCUCCAGCUGCAGACCCUGUUUGUGACAGCAGUGUUUGCUAUUGAAUCACAAACCACAGAAAACAGUGAUUUGCACAAGAACGGCGAAUGCAUAAGAAGUGUGGUGAACUCCACUUUUGCACAGGAAGAGGGAAGGAAGAAAAACAUAUUUAUCUUACUCGUGGCUAAACGAUAGUGCAAACCAGUAAUUAUGUGUAAAUUAUGACCUUGCCCCCUUGCAGUCAGCUCCUCAGUAAACAUGACCACAUUUGACUUCCAUCCCCUCAGCAGUCCAAAGCGUGAUACAUGCAUCAUUGUUUUCAGAGCAAGUUAAAUGCUUCUCUUGAGAUAUUUUUUUUUCAAUGACAACCUAUAUUUUCAGAGAUCAAGAUCUUAAAUGAAAAGCUGGUCUUUCCCAGGUCUGGGGGAUUGUCACUGAAUUAUAAAACUUUGACAGUGUAAUAUUAGCUUUUAUAAAUUUUGAUCUUUCCUUUCACACUUUUCUAUAGCUAAAAGGCAUUAAAUAUAAGUUUAAAAAUAUUUUUAUUUUUAAAUAUGUACGUUUUUAAUUUUCAUUCAAUAUUCUGUAAUAUUCUCAAACCUGGACAAAUGUUGAACAAUUGCAGAAAAUGAAGUGAUAAAAUAAACCCCUAACUAGGAUAUCA